rnacentral:tRNA from 1 species
GUCUUUAUAUUGCUGUCCGCGAUCGGUUGGUUUGGAAGAGCAGGCGGCAAGCAUUGCCACAACCGUGCCCAUAAGAAGGUACUUUACCCAACGUCCUUUCAUUGUUCUCUUCUUCAGGUUAAAAAAUAAGGCGCAACGAAGAUAACAAACCACCGCGUUUAAUGAAAUGAGCAGCCUCUCCCUGACGCAAAUUUUGCACAAAAAAUAGGCUUUAGUGAUUUGUUUUUGUUCAAAAUCAUGCCAGAUCCGUGAUCGGGGUAAAAAAAAGGUUGCAUGAAAACGCGAGCGGAGUAUAGUGCGCAUCCACGGACGCGGGGUGGAGCAGCCUGGUAGCUCGUCGGGCUCAUAACCCGAAGGUCGUCGGUUCAAAUCCGGCCCCCGCAACCAAUCAAAUUUGAUGAAGUAAAAGCAGUACGGUGACGCGGGGUGGAGCAGCCUGGUAGCUCGUCGGGCUCAUAACCCGAAGGUCGUCGGUUCAAAUCCGGCCCCCGCAACCAAUUAUUGAACACCCUAACGGGUGUUUUUUUGUUUCUGGUCUNNNNNNNNNCA